rnacentral:rRNA from 1 species
CCUACGGGAGGCUGCAGUCGAGAAUCUUCGGCAAUGGGCGCAAGCCUGACCGAGCGACGCCGCGUGGAGGAAGAAGGCCCUCGGGUUGUAAACUCCUGUUGGGGGGGACCAAAACAAUGAGGUAUCCCCUGAGGAAGCACGGGCUAAGUUCGUGCCAGCAGCCGCGGUAAGACGAACCGUGCGAACGUUAUUCGGAAUCACUGGGCUUAAAGCGCGCGUAGGCGGCGUCGUAAGUUGGAGGUGAAAUCCCAUCGGCUCAACCGUGGAAAUGCCCC